rnacentral:sRNA from 1 species
UUGAAGCAAGAGUAGCUUUAGGCUUGGGGAAGGCAGGGGUUUGUCUGAAGGAUGAUGGCCUUGUGACCAGGCACAGGGGACAGGAAUGUAUUUAAGGCUGUUUACAAAGAAAGCCGGCAUGCUUGCCCACGAAGGGCAUGGGGAGCUCGGUUAGAGAAAGGGGUGAGACAAGUGGCAAAGGUCUGAUCUAAAGAAGCAGUAACGACCCACGGAAGUGAGACAGGUCGUUUGUGCUUGGUGCAUUUACCUAGGGUAAGACAGGAAGAGCCCGGUCCUGCCUCAAAGAGAAACAACCACAAGCCAGACUCCUCAGAGGUGGAUGAGUCAUGCAGAAUCUGCCGAUUUUAGAAACGAGGUCAGCAGACCAGGAGGCAGCUGCCGUUGACAAGACAGGUCAUUCGGUUCCGAGAAUAAGGACCUUGCUCUAGGUACCACAGGGGACCACGAGGUAGCACCUGGUCAGGAGGGAGGAGGAAGAGUCAGCGAGGCCCCCAGAUGUCAAGACAUCAGAAUAUAGAAAAUAAAAGGCACAGUCGGUGUCCGGGUGAGGUCAUUCAGGACAGUGUGUUUAGGGCCAUUAUCUCAUUGUCCCUAAGGCUGUCACUUCGGUGCCCUGGAUUGGGUGACUCCUCCUCAGCCCCUGGCUGCUGACUCUACUCGUCUGUUCCCUUCAGGAAUGAGACUCCCGGGAGAGGCACAAAUUGAUUCGGUGGCCUGCGUCCAGCACUGCCUGUUCUGCAUGGGCAGCUCUCUAAGACAGGCUGCCUAUUCUGGCUGCCCAUGAAUCAAGUGUCUACUCGUGGUGUAAUCCAUUUACCAGUGGGGCUCACGGCUCGGCAAGAUGCACCAAGGACGCCUUCUUGGUAGGGUGGGGGCUGCCUUAGGAGAGAUGUCCUGAGCAUUCCGAGAAGAAGGAGAAAGCGUCGGGAACUAGCACUUGGCUCUUAUGCAAAGAUUACAGAAACCAGGAAGUGAGUCAUCAUCACAGCCACAAAUGUGCCCGAGAGCUCUAAACAAGGUGACAGGUGGAAUCAUCAUUUUUAUGUAGAAGAUUAGCCUGGUAAUAGUUUGUGAUAUAGAGUGAAGAGGAAGGUGUCUGGAAGAUCCAUGGGGGUCUUCAUGGAUCCUAGAAACUGGAGGAGGUUCCUGGCUUUGGGGGGCAGAGAAGAAAGAGCGGCUCUCAGAGACCAGCUGAGGAAAACACCACCAGAACUGGGUAUCUGACCAGCCAAAGGAGGGAAAGGACAACUCACAGACAAUAUUGAGACUUAUAGCCCUAGAGUAAGAAGGACACCGUCCCACUAACAAAAACCCCAGCAAAGCACAGAAAGAGGGCAGACACAGGAGGAUUCGAUUUAGACUCCGUGAGGUGAGUUUGACGGCAGACACGUGAUUGAUUACUUUUGCACCUAGUUAACCAAAAUAUUUGAGGAAACAACCAAUUUGGGCUCCUGUGUUCAGAGGUGUGACUCUGUCAUGGUGGGGAAGGUGCGGUGUUGCAGAACAGUUCAACAGUGUCAUGGUGGACAGGGUGCCAAGGGGAAUCACGGAAAGAGACUAAGAUGAGUCUCUAGCCUAAGCCUCUAGGCCUAUACUUCCUCCAAUCAGCAGCAAGUGAAGGACCCUAGACUGAAGCACAAGAGCUAUAUUAGGAGGCUUGGCCUGGUAGAAAGUAGGUAGGUUAUGAGGACCCAUAACCAGCCUUACACCCACCGCCUCAGGUCGAGAUCAGGCCAAGUACCAGCUGCCCACUUCGGAUCAAGGCUAGGCCAAGUUCCAUUCUCCACCCACAGUUCUUGGGAGGAGCAGGGACAUUCUUGAAAAUCCACAGAAUGUACUGACUGAUAAGUCACCUGACCCUCUGGUCCAAGAUAGAGCUCAAAAGCAUGUCAUGUAGGUUUAAACUGCAAACUUGCUGAUGUAACCUGUACCUCGAAAAGUAGAAAAACCAUUUGUUCUAGCCACUGGGGUCGCCUUCCAGUCACUCGCCACGAGGGACUGAUUGAAGGUCGACCCCAACGUGCCGGAAAAUAAACCUCUUGGGUUUGCAUC